rnacentral:rRNA from 1 species
CCUACGGGUGGCAGCAGUGGGGAAUAUUGGACAAUGGGCGAAACCCUGAUCCAGCAACGCCGCGUGAAGGAAGAAGGCUUUCGGGUUGUAAACUUCUUUUCUCAGGGACGAAGCCGGUGCCGGUACCUGAGGAAUCAGCCACGUCUAACUACGUACCAGCAGCCGCGGUACUACGGAGGUGGCAAGCGUUAUCCGGAUUUACUGGUUGUAAAGGGAGAGUAGGCGGGAAAGCACGUCAGAUGUGAAAUGCAGGGGCGCAACCGGUGGACUGCAGUUGCAACUGGUUUGCUUGAGUACUGGAGAGGCAGACGGAAUUCCUAGUGUAGCGGUGAAAUGCGUAGAUAUUAGGAGGAACACCAGUGGCGAAGGCGGUCUGCUGGACAGCAACUGACGUUGAGGCGCGAAAGCGUGGGGAGCAAACAGGAUUAGAUACCCGAGUAGUC